rnacentral:rRNA from 1 species
AUGAAGAUCAUGAGCUGCCCCAUAAUGAAACCGCCAAUAGUCGCGAAUAUCUCGUUCUUCCCUAAUCCAAGAUUGGAGAAAGAAGAUGCCCCUAUGGAGAAUGUAGUCAGAAAUGCAUAA